rnacentral:rRNA from 1 species
UACGUAGGUGGCAAGCGUUGUCCGGAUUUACUGGGCGUAAAGAGCGCGCAGGCGGUCGUACAAGUCGCGUGUGAAAGCCCCCGGCUCAACUGGGGAGGGUCACGCGAUACUGUUCGACUCGAAGGCAGGAGAGGGAAGUGGAAUUCCCGGUGUAGUGGUGAAAUGCGUAGAUAUCGAUAGGAACUCCGGUGGCGAAGGCGGCAUACUGGACCACAUCUGACGCUGAGGCGCGAAAGCCAGGGGAGCGAACGGG